GAGAUUUCUUUGUACUGGUUUUGUCAGCAAGUCUGCCGGAAAACUAGUUCACUCUGAACUUCAGUACCCCUGACACUCUCGUUGUAUGAUCCACCGCUGCAAAAUUGGAGGAGCUGGGUUCUCAUAGUGGCACUACCAUAAGUCGAGGCAUACAACUAAGGAAUGGAUGCAAGCCACCCCAAUGGUUCUACUAGUUUGAACAUCUACGACCGGU
rnacentral:lncRNA from 1 species